rnacentral:rRNA from 1 species
AUGGAACAGCAGGGCGACCAGACGCGGCUGCUGCCCGAGGACAUGCUGGCGUGCGUCCUCGGCCGCCUCGCUCCACGCAGCCUCGCCGCGUCCCGCUGCGUCUGCAAGGCGGUGGCUAACCCGGCUACGGGGUGGAGGGCGCCCUUGCUGCCGCCGCCGCCCAAAAGCGCGGGCAUGGAGUGCUUCGUCGACGAAGCCUACCUUGUCUACGAUCCUACGGUGUCAGCUCACUAUCAAGUGGUCUUAAUACCUUGCGUUCCUUACAUCGAGCUUGACAUAGAGCCGGGCGAAGAGAUCUACUUUGACGUCGAGCCGGCAGUUUUAGAAUCGGAAUGGCCACCGUCUUCGUGUGUCCAGUGGGUCUUCUCGUCGUCGACCAAGCGAUGGGAGGAAAGGACCUUCUACCGUGAAGGGGAGGCUGCAGGAACGGUAGCCUAUUUGGGAACUGAUUGUUCAUGGAAUAAGCGCCACGCCGUCUACUGGCAUGGUGCACUGUAUGUGCAUUGCCAGAAAGGUUUCGUCAUGAGGUUAUCGUUAUCAAAUAGCACAUACCAAGUAAUUAAACCGCCGGGAGAUAUUGAACCCGAAAGCUGCACAGAUCUCAGCCUCGGAAAGUCGAAAAAAGGAGUGUAUUUUGCAUUAGUUAGAGCUUCGCAGCAAAUUCAGGUGUGGGUUCUCACUGAAUCGUGCGGUCAUAUUAAGUGGGUGCUUGAGCAUGACACGCCCAUUAAGGUACCGCCGCCAUGUCUAAAUCAUGGCCAGCAAGGUUAUGGGCCGUGGGUCUUGCAGGAAGUUAACUAUAAUAACGAAAAGUACAUCAAAGAUUUCGGCGGCAAUGCCACCACAGCAGUUGAAACAACAAUUGAAGAGAACUUUGAAUGGAACUCCGAUGAUGACAACGACGAUGGUGUCGACACAAAAGAUGUGGUUGACGAAUGCAACCGUGGCAUUUAUUUUCUGGGAUUUCACCCUUUCAGAGAAAUCAUCUUCCUGGAGAGAAAUUUGAGCAGAGGCUUGGCGUAUAAUUUAAACACUUCCAAGAUUCAAGACCUUGGUAACUUGUGUCCAAAGUAUUACGGCGAUAUUGCCGGCCCACGUGGACUUAUUGAAGCAUCUUUUCCGUACACGCCUUGUUGGAUGAAAUAG